UAGAGCGGCGGACGGGUGAGUAACACGUGGACAAUCUGCCCCCCGGCCCGGGAUAGCCCAGGGAAACCUGGAUUAAUACCGGAUGAGACGGGACCCGCGAAGGCGGGACCCGGGAAAGGCGCUGCGGCGCCGCCGGGGGAUGAGUCUGCGUCCCAUUAGCUAGACGGCGGGUAACGGCCCACCGUGGCGACGAUGGGUAGCCGGCCUGAGAGGGUGGACGGCCACAUUGGAACUGAGACACGGUCCAGACUCCUACGGGUAGGCAGCAGCUAAGAAUCUUCCGCAAUGGGCGAAAGCCUGACGGAGCGAACCGCCGCGUGAACGAAGAAGGCCGUGAGGUUGUAAAGUUCUUUUCGGGAGGGGGAACAACCGUGGCAGGGAAUGGCCGCGGGAUGACGUGAAUCCCGGAAUAAGCCCCGGCUAACUACGUGCCAGCCGCCGC
rnacentral:rRNA from 1 species